AAAUAGGGAGUGCUUUAUCAUAGAAAAAUUGAGAAAGAGAGUAGAGAUGUAGAGGCAAGGAUUAGGGUUUGCCACCACACAAGGGCUAGGGUUUUAGAGAGAAAAAAAAAGUUUUCUCUUGGUACAACUCUAGGGUGGGAGAACUAUCUUUGUGGUACACCUUGGGAAACACUUAUCAAAUUGAGUCUCUUGGCCACAGGAAGAGAUUCGGGUUUUGGGUAGAAUUAGGAUUAAUUCUUGUAACUCAAUUGAGAAUUUCUUUGUAAAGUUACUCUUUGAUAUAGUGGAACGGAGGGGCUGCUCUCUCCCCCAGACUAGGUCAUUGUUGGACCGAACUGGGUAAACAAAUUAUUGUGUUCUUUCUUCUCCUUUAUCUUGUUUAUCAGUUAUUAUUAUUAUUAUUGCUUAUUCCGCU
rnacentral:lncRNA from 1 species